GACGAACCGUGCGAACGUUGUUCGGAAUCACUGGGCGUAAAGCGCACGUAGGCGGCUUUCUAAGUCAGGGGUGAAAUCCUGGAGCUCAACUCCAGAACUGCCUUUGAUACUGGGGAGCUCGAGUCCGGAAGAGGUGAGUGGAACUCCGAGUGUAGAGGUGAAAUUCGUAGAUAUUCGGAAGAACACCAGUGGCGAAGGCGGCUCACUGGUCCGGUACUGACGCUGAGGUGCGAAAGCGUGGGGAGCAAACAGG
rnacentral:rRNA from 1 species